GGAGAGGUGGCCGAGCGGCUUAAGGUGCUCGACUGGAAAUCGAGUGUGCACGCAAGUGUACCGCGGGUUCGAAUCCCGCCCUCUCCG
rnacentral:tRNA from 1 species